AAAGAAAUUUUAGUAUAAUUAAUACAUGGAUUUAGGUGUAAUGAUUGUCCACAUGUAUUCAUUGAGCGAAAUAAAAAAAGUUGGAAAAGGCAAGUGUAAAGGGUAUCUAACAUUUUUCUUGUUAUAAUAAUAUAAAUAUAAUAUGAGAGUGGUAUUGCUAAUUAUCUUAGAGUGUGUUUGUUUGUCAUAUCUAACUUUCAAUGGAUUAGACUAGAUUACAUAUUAGUUUAGGCACGUGUUUAUGACAGGCAAGACUAAGUUUGAAGGGACAAAGGAGGGCUCGCCUCAAGACCUCCCAAAAAGUAUCAGACUGCUAAACUCGUCUACUUUGCUUCGCCUCGAACUCGUCUUGUCUGCUUGGCACCGUCUUCGUGGCUGUCCAACAAAUAAACGAUGGACCAGCAUCUUCGUUGAGACCCAAAUUCCCAAAAGACGAGAUCUUCGUGAACCCAAUGGUGGGUGCAGAACGCGAUGAGGAGGAGCGUAAAGAGGCUUACGAGCCACCUAGUGUGCUUGAAGGAAUACAUGAGGCCAAGAAUGCCAGCAAUUUCCCAUCGAAAUCAUUCCUUCGUCCAUGGAACUGUCGGAAGAGCGCUGAUGCAGUGAUACGAUGUCGGGAGGAAAAUCGUACUGUCAAAAGAACUACGAUCAGAUCAGAAAUAAUGCUAUGAAUAAGAAAAUCAAGACGAGAAAAUCAGAUGGAAACAACAUAUAAUCUCAAGGAGAAUCGUUGAUCCAAAGAGACGACCUGUCACCGAGUAAAGUUUCCAAUAAUGGAGGUAAGGGCAAAAGGCGGCAAAAAUUUCGAAGGCAACUUCCGCUAAAUCUACGGAUACCGCAAUUUCCAAGUUUCAACACAACUCUAUCUCUCUGAGCUUCGUCUCCAAUAAACACAGCAGGACAAUUUAAAGGAGAAGAAUUAUGAUGGCAGCGUUAAUCGUAUUGUCGGUGGUUCUGUGUUUUAAUGUAUUGAAUCCAACAUUGAUGGAUUAAUUAUUUGUUAAAUAACAGGAAGGAUUUACAAUUGAGAUUCAUCUUACAAGUAUCUUAAAUCAUAUAGUUUUCUUCCUUUGUAGAUCCUCCGAAUUGCUCCGCUAGCUUCGAUGUGUAUAAGAGGGCAUUUUCUAGAAAGCCGUUUAUAAUUUUCAUUCAAGUACUGCUUUCUGAUAUUAUUACAUUGUCUUGGAUGUAUUUUUUUCUUCUCUGAA